rnacentral:tRNA from 1 species
AAGAGGUAAGCUAAAUUUAAGCUAAUGGUUUCAUACACCAGUUAUGGUUACUCCCUUCUUU